ACUUUUUCUUCUGGAGGACACAAGAAUGUUUUUCAUUAACAUGAAUCAUGGGAAACAUCGCAGCUUCAUCUAUUCAGGCCUGACAUACGAUUUCUAUCAAGGGCACAUUUCGUUUACCCUAGCCUUAUUCAGCACUGCUCUUAUGCAGCAGUCUCUGCCAGCUGUUUUUACUGCUGUUUGCUAGUAAUUGAUUGCUUUGUUCCUGGUCUGUGAAAUAAUGUCACUUAGUCCUUAAGCUUCUAGUGGGCUACUGGUUUCUUUUUUACCAAAUAUUAAUUGUGCCAAAAAAUAGAGAGAGGUCCCAAACAAACCCUAGAUUUGAACUCCCCUGAUUUUUGGUAAAGUUCAGACCCAGAUCAGAGUUUUUCAGCUUUGCCUCAGCUCUGCGUAUAGUACAGUAUAUCAAGUAUUCCAUAUCCUUUAACAUAACACUAACUUACUAAAAUGUCUGCUUCCUUAUGUAGCAGCCACAUGUUCUAUUUUUAUCUCACCAGUGAAUACAAGAAGUUAAAUUACCCACAGAAACAGUUCUCCCAUUACUAAUGGUCAUGUGGCUCCAGGAGCUGGGAGAUCAAAAAGGGCAGAGUAAAUGUCUGAAAAUAUCCCUGGGAACAGACAAUAAAUGGACAGAUGUGUGCAUUUCACAUCAAACAAGUAGAGGAAGAAAUAACUAGUAGACACAGUGGCUUUUAGAAAGCUUUUUAUGUAAAAAACACUGCUUCUAAAAUGAGGAGACAUUCGCUUUAUGGAUUUCCAACAUGUCUUACUUGAACCUGUGCAUUGUGCCUCCAAAGGACAAUUAGGUCUCUCAGACUUUGACAGGACUGCUGUGUGAGUAAACGCUCACCAACACGAGGAAGGAUUGAACAGUCUAGUCCACAAUAAAGGACAAAUUUCAAUAUCCUUUUAAGUUGAUGGAAUUUUUACCAUUGACUGAAACGGGAACAGAAUUUGGUCUUGAGGAAGAAUUCAAGUGAAGGGAUUCCCCUGUUAUGCAUUCAAGGAUUGCAUUAGGUCUUUUGGCUACAGCAUCAUACUGGAAGCUCAUGCUCAGGAUCUACAGCUCCUGACAGUAAAACUAUGCUGCCAAGAGGGCAGGCGCAGCACCCCAAACACCACAGAAGUAGAUGGAGAAGGACUCUGAAAAAGCUGCUCAUAGGGAUGUACAGGAGAAACUCAGAGUAAUUUGAAUUCCAUCAGGCAAGGAAAGAGCGGGCUCUUCAGCAGAAGGAGACACUUAUGAACUGGUUCAUGGACAUGGAGAUGCGCCAUAGGGAACAGAAGCAUCCCUUAAUGGAGAGGUUCAUCGAAUUGGUGGCUGAAAGAGUGUGGUAUCCUAUCCACCUCCUGCUAAGGCCCCAGAGCCCGCCCACCUCCUCUGACUUCUGUUCAGGGUGCUACCAAACUGGCGGAUCCUGUUGCAGUGACCCACCCCUAACAGAGCAGAAGGAGAAUGAUGAGCUGGCGGGAGACCCAGAACACCACCAUGGAUAACCCCUAACUCCCUUGCUGGAGAAGUCCCUGGUUCUCACCAAGAGUCAGUGUCCCCUGUCGUUCACCCCUUCUGAUGAGGAGAGGAAGGAGAUGGGUGCAAAUAUGCUAAGCUGUGAGCAAUGUUCUCAG